UUUAAUUUGUUUGGUUUGGCUAUAAAGCAAAGAAAUCUUUUUUUUUUUUUAAACAGGGAAUUACAGAUAUAUUGUAAUGAUACUCAAGGUAUUCUCCACCAUGUACAAUAUCCCAUUUCACCUCAAAAUUCCAGAUUAAGUCAUUUCAGUAUAUUGAAGGCAUAAACUGGGAUGAUGAGUUGGAAGCUGCUUCUCAGAAACUUUACACGGAAAUUCCAACAGUUUUAGGAACUCUGUGCCAAGAACCAGGAUGAAGACCACAUAUCUAUUUUUUUUUUAAUGGAAUCACAAUGUUGCACAUCUUCCUGGAGAAGACACUUCGAUAGAACAGAGGACAGUCCAAGAGUGAUGAUACCCAGUUGCAGAAGAUGGAGAGGGUAUCUUAAUGUGGGAGGGAGGAAAGAGAGACGAUAGUUUGUCACACAUUUCCCAGUGGUUCACCGGAUGUCUUCCAAGCUCUCUAAACAAAUGUGGCAUACCUUCACCCCUGAAGGUUCACCGGAUGUCUUCCAAGCUCUCUAAACAAAUGUGGCAUACCUUCACCCCUGAAGCUGUUGCACCUUCUCCUUGGUUCACCGACACUACAAACCACGGAGGGAUGGUAGAAGCUUAAUCUCCUGGAUGAAGUAGUUCCCUUUUGGUUGAGCACCAACAACAUCCAUGAUGCCAACAAUCUUGGACAGAGGACAGCUCAGAGGAUGUGCUGAGCACCAGAAAUGACUUCACUGGAGUACCCUGGAGAGAGUGACACAAGGAUGAGGAAAGUGUGUGUGUGUGUUGUGUCUGUCUAAGUACGCCUGUGUCAGGGGAGGGUGGCCACAGAGUUUCCCAAAGUAUAUGGUAUUGGGACCCAGACAGUGUUAUAAGGGUAUUUAAGGGAUGGUGAUCUCAGAAGACACAAGGACUUAGCAGAAAUGAAGCAGAAGAUACUUAUUUUUGAUAAUGUAGGGACUAUUUAAAGGCCUAUGUUCAUAUCUGGAUCUAGCAGUAAUUGGCUGUGGCUGCAUAUUAUGCUUUCUACCUAACUUAAUUAUUUUAUUUGGAAUUUCCACCCUGGUUUUAUUAAGUUUAACACAUAUAAAUUAGGCUAUUCCCAAAGGGAAGAGGGGAGUUACUACAGGAAGCUCUGAAUUGAGUGCUGUCUUCCCUGUGAGCUAGACAAAAAUGGGGUGAGUGUUGGGCUAGAAAGUUCAUAUUCUUAUUUGAAAAAGAAAAAAGAGAACUACAAUUUGAAGAAUGACACAAAGUUUUAAUAAUCUCUCCCAUUAAUCUCAAGCUACGUGGAUGGGACUCCUUGCAUAACCUGAGUGGUGUACUUAACUAGAAAUCUCCAAACAUGACUCCUUGGCCCUCCCAGAGAUUCUAGAGCUCCUUAAGUAAGUUCCUUUUAAGAACAGAUGGCCCCAGAAAGCUGGAGGACUUGAAAAUGUACAUAUGGCCAACUUUGUAUUUUUAUGUAUUUAAGGGUUUUUAAAAGACCAUGGCUUGUUAGUUGAUUGGAUAUUUAUGGGUCCUGUAGAUAUUUUUAUUGCCACCGGCGGGCCCAGUAUUAUGUUUCUAAAGUGUUCUCCUAUCUGGGUAUCAGUGGAAAUUCCUAUCUCUGCGGUCAUCAUUUUCUGAAUGUCUGAGUAAGAUCUUCCAAGAAUAGCGUUAUACAUGGUGAAAGGGCUUGCAUGGGCCAAGCUUGAACACUUUUCACUCUAAAGAGUCUUUAGGUCUUAAGAACAAGGUAUUAUAUUUUAUGUGUGCAUGUGUGAUUGAAGUCUAUAGAUUCAGAAGUUUCAACAGCUCCUUAAAAUAGUCUCUGACAAAUCUGUAAUUAUUAGCUUCUCUUCUUUUAGAAGUCUGGUGCAGAAGAAAGAAUAAACAGUUAAUUGAGAAGGUUCAUUAAUUUGGGUUCUGGUUAAAGUCAGAAGGUUCUAAUCUUAAUUUUAUGGACCCCAGGAAAUGAUCUUCUAGACCACCCAUGAAACAAGAAUAGUAUUAUUUAAAAGUAUCAUCAGAGAAGUAAUUUUUAAAGCAGAUAUAAUGAUGUAAUAUACAUAUGUAUGCACUUAUAACUACAGUGAGCUGAACUUUAUAUAAAUCAGUUAUAUAUGUGUGAUAGGGUACCUGGUGUGGUGGAAUUUUUUAUUUAAAAGUGAACAUUGAAAGUCAAUUUGGAGCUGCAUCUUUCACACAAAUGUAAGAAUUGAGGCAUGUCUUGACUUUGGAAAAUGAUACACAAUAAACUUAAAAAAAAUAUGUUGCAAAA